GUAUUUCUGUGGUUCAGUUGGUAGGGCAUUGGGCUAACAAUGCCAAAGUCAUGGGUUCUAAUCCCAGGGAAUGCA